rnacentral:lncRNA from 1 species
UUUUUUCAGUAAUUAAAAGUAGUCCCCCAAAUUACCGACCGUUCCUAGAGCAAGUGGCAAAGGGCUUGGUGGUUAGUACCCGAGACCCAAGUUCGAAUCCUAGUUGAUUCACAUUUCCAGCUAAGUUUAUUUCUAAAUGAAAUAAACGAAGCGGGUACCGUGCUACCUAUCUCUCUCAAAAAAAAAAAAAAAAUAGUCCCAAAUUAGUCUACCGUCAUUUAAAAGAAUCUGUAAAAGAAGAAUCACCGUGUAUAUACCGACACCUAUAGUAUGCACCAGUAAGAUAUAUUCCGACAUUUUAAAACAUUAAUUUUUUAAAAAAUUU